GUAUACUCAAACAUCACCUGGAGGAACGAUCCGAUUCGAUCUCGGAAGUUAAGCAACGUCGAGUCCGGUCAGUACCUGGAUGGGAGACCGCUUGGGAACACCGGAUGCUGUAGGCA
rnacentral:rRNA from 1 species